GCAGUCGAACGAACUUUCCUAUUGAUUGAUGCUUGCAUCAUGAUUUAGAUCUAAGUGAGUGGCGGACGGGUGAGUAACACGUGGGUAACCUGCCCAGAAGUGGGGGAUAACAUUUGGAAACAAGUGCUAAUACCGCAUAACAACAUUAAACACAUGUUUUUUGUUUAAAAGAUGGUUUUGCUAUCUCUUCUGGAUGGACCCGCGGCGUAUUAGCUAGUUGGUGAGGUAAUAGCUCACCAAGGCGAUGAUACGUAGCCGACCUGAGAGGGUAAUCGGCCACAUUGGGACUGAGACACGGCCCAAACUCCUACGGGAGGCAGCAGUAGGGAAUCUUCCACAAUGGACGAAAGUCUGAUGGAGCAAUGCCGCGUGAGUGAAGAAGGUUUUCGGAUCGUAAAACUCUGUUGUUGAAGAAGAACAUAUGUGAGAGUAACUGUUCACGUACUGACGGUAUUCAACCAGAAAGCCACGGCUAACUACGUGCCAGCAGCCGCGGUAAUACGUAGGUGGCAAGCGUUGUCCGGAUUUAUUGGGCGUAAAGAGAAUGUAGGCGGUUCAUUAAGUUUGAAGUGAAAGCCCUCGGCUCAACCGAGGAAGUGCUUCGAAAACUGGUGAACUUGAGUGCAGAAGAGGAAAGUGGAACUCCAUGUGUAGCGGUGGAAUGCGUAGAUAUAUGGAAGAACACCAGUGGCGA
rnacentral:rRNA from 2 species